rnacentral:rRNA from 1 species
AUUGAACGCUGGCGGAAUGCUUUACACAUGCAAGUCGAACGGCAGCACGGGGGCAGCCCUGGUGGCGAGUGGCGAACGGGUGAGUAAUACAUCGGAACGUGCCCCGUCGUGGGGGAUAACGUAGCGAAAGUUACGCUAAUACCGCAUACGAUCUGAGGAUGAAAGCGGGGGACCUUCGGGCCUCGCGCGAUCGGAGCGGCCGAUGUCAGAUUAGGUAGUUGGUGGGGUAAAGGCCUACCAAGCCGACGAUCUGUAGCUGGUCUGAGAGGACGACCAGCCACACUGGGACUGAGACACGGCCCAGACUCCUACGGGAGGCAGCAGUGGGGAAUUUUGGACAAUGGGCGCAAGCCUGAUCCAGCCAUUCCGCGUGCAGGACGAAGGCCUUCGGGUUGUAAACUGCUUUUGUACGGAACGAAAAGGCUCUGGCUAAUACCUGGGGCUCAUGACGGUACCGUAAGAAUAAGCACCGGCUAACUACGUG